rnacentral:rRNA from 1 species
AUGGGUGAGAUUGAAAGUGGAAGUGGGCUAAAUCAAGAGAUGGGACUAGCUAGACCCGGCGACACUCGUUGGGGUUCUCAUUUUAAAACCAUUAUGCACAUUGUUAGCAUGUAUUCCACAAUCCUUGAAGUACUUGAUGCUAUUGGAAAAGAUCCUUCACAAAAAAGUGAGUGGACAAGAAUACAUGGAGUUGCUCAAGCCUUUGAAUCAUUUGACUUUGUUUUCAAUCUUCACUUGAUACUUGUUAUUCUUUGCUAUACAAAUGAGUUUUCCAAAUCUUUGCAAAAGAGAGAUCAAGAUAUUGUCAAUGCAAUGACACUUGUUAGUUUGGCAAAGAGUAGAAUGCAACACAUGAGGUCUUAUGGCUGGGAAGAUUUUCUUGCAAAGCUAACCUUAUUUUGCAACAAACAUGACAUUCAAGUUCCUUUGUGGGAGGAUAUUUAUGAGCCUAAUUGA